rnacentral:rRNA from 1 species
UACAGAGGGUGCUAGCGUUAAUCGGAUUGAUUGGGCGUAAAGGGCGUGUAGGUGGAGAAGUAAGUCAGAUGUGAAAUCCCAGGGCUCAACCCUGGAACCGCAUUUGAAACUGCCUCUCUAGAGGAUGGAUGGAGAAAAUGGAAUUCCACAAGUAGCGGUGAAAUGCGUAGAUAUGUGGAAGAACACCUGUGGCGAAAGCGGUUUUCUAAUUCAUUCCUGACACUGAGGCGCGAAAGCUAGGGGAGCAAACAGG